rnacentral:rRNA from 1 species
UACGGGGGGGGGCAAGCGUUGUUCGGACUUACUGGGCGUAAAGGGCUCGUAGGCGGCCAACUAAGUCAGACGUGAAAUCCCUCGGCUUAACCGGGGAACUGCGUCUGAUACUGGAUGGCUCGAGUUUGGGAGAGGGAUGCGGAAUUCCAGGUGUAGCGGUGAAAUGCGUAGAUAUCUGGAGGAACACCGGUGGCGAAGGCGGCAUCCUGGACCAACACUGACGCUGAUGAGCGAAAGCCAGGGGAGCAAACGGG